CAUGGACCACCUCACGGACUGUGAGUAUCAGUUACGGUUGCACUUAGUCACUUGGCAGAUGCUUUUAUCCAAAGCACAUUUGACUAUCGUACAGUUAAUUAAAUAAUGCAAUACAGUGUCAACUGCAAUACAGUGUAAACUGAACACAUUUAGUACGAUAAUACUUAAUAACUACUGAUCAAUGUGUAUUUGAUGACCUUACUAGAGAAGUAUAGUAUUGUAUUUUAGUUCACUGGAAAGACACAGCAUAAAUAAAUUACCUAUGCUAUUUUAUUUUGAUUGUCUAUUUUCAGUUCAUGAAAACCAACUAUCUUUGGACACCAGUGUGGAGAAGAGAUUGCCAGGUAACUUGCCUCAGACAGAAUGUUUUGUCAAGGAGUUAUCCUUUCCAUUGCCAUCAGGUUACCAUCCACAACAAACAACAAGCAAAACAAAAUUAUAUAUAUAUAUAUCUUUUUCUUAACCUUUGUCACCUGGUUGAUUUUCUUAAAGAGGGUCAACACCAUGAACAACCUGACCCCCAUCAGCAGAGCAAUGAAGCAAAAUUGAGAAAGACAUUCGCCAGGGAAUGGGGACGGUGCAAAAUGAUCGUCAUGGACCGAGUAAAAGAGAUUAUAUCACCCGAGCUCUACACAUCAUGUGAGGUAUCAGGACAAGCUGAAUGUGACCCUCACAGACAGGCCAGUGACAGGAACAUGCGAGAGAUGGUUGGGCGGGAAUGGGCCCGUCAUGAAGCCGUCAUCAUGGAGAAAGUCCGAGGCGUUAUAUCAGAGCUCUUUUCACAGUCAGGAGGUGAGUUAUAGUGCUGUGGACAAUGACCUUCUGCCUCUCACAAGCUAAUGUUUGUUUAUGAUGAAAAGUAUUGACCAGAGUUGUCUUUUAAGGUGUGGCAUUUAGUUUUAAUUUUCAACUAAAAAUGAAAAAUAUGCAUGUUUCUCACACAGAUGCAAAUCUGAAGGAAAAGCAGGAAAGAUCUUUAAAACAUUAUUCCUGUCCAUAUUUCUUUCGUCUAGAUUUUUUCCAUUGGUUUUACAGACACAGGACGAUGUAAACAAAUGUAGUGAAAUGCUUGAAACAGACAGAAGUAUUCACAUGAUUUGGAAACAUAGUAAUCACACUUUUAUUACCUUACAUUGCUAAAUUAUUAUUAUAUUUGUACUGCAAACACCAGAACUACAAAAUGCACAUAUAAAGUGAUUACGUCGUACAAUUUAGUGUACCUUUUUCCAUAGUUCGUAUGUUUUCAUAUGUUCCAGCUGGUUUUCCUGACCAGUUGCUACCAGGUGACAUCACUGUUUAAUUUAGAGUGAACCUUUCUGUUUUCUUUCUUUUUAGUUCUUUCCUCUGAACCCGAUGAGCACGAGAUUGAAGAAUCAAGAAAAAAGGUGUGCAACUGGCAAACAAAAUCAUCUGGACUUGGAUCAGAAUUACAAGAGGAGGAAAGCGAUUUUGAGUGAUAAACAUUUGACACUGGACUUGAACUGUUUGAAGCAUCUGCUUUUGCCUGGAGGAGCAAAGUACAUUUCACCUUUUCACCAUAUUUAAACCAAAAACAUUGAAUUGUAUCAUAAAGUUAUGUUUAUGUUUUUAGUUUUUGACAAGCUUAAGCAAUGUCGUUUUUAUAUCCAUUUAAUCUCCAGGUUUUUAUACAAUGUUUGUUGAAGGCAUUCUUUGUAGAGUUGGAAUGUUCCAAUUGGUGUUCAUUCUGAGCAGGUGAUCCCUGAAAUUGGCAGAAAAAAGGGUAGUGGUAUAGGUGGACCUUUUAAGCUGGUUGCCUUUAAGAGCGCAGGUGUUGGUGAUUACCUUAUAGUCUGCAGCCCACAGGGUAGUGUGCAGCAACGCAGUCUGCUGGUCGAGCUCGCUGGAAAGCUUGAUUUUCUGUGUGUGGUAUGCAUCUAAUCCCGUGCUGGUUCGUUGAUCAAGCAAGAAGAAAAGUGUGCAACUGGCGAAUAGGGGACAUCAGUUGUGCAGAGUGACAAACAUGUUUUAACUGAACUGCUUUGACUGAACAACUGCUUUUUACCCCAAAUCAGCAACUAGUUCUUGUAUUGUACUGCAAAAUGAUUACCAUUUAGAAAAGGCGUUUUGACCUUUAGUACAGGUCAGGCCAUUUUUUGCUGUUUGUGGAUCUUCGGGGAAACAGAGGGAACAGAAGUCUAUUUGUGAUAUUUUUAUAUUUUUUAAUGAUCAGACUACUGCACGGAUGUUCUGACAGUAUAAUACAUUAAACUAAUACUUGUAACCUAAGUGUGCUUCAUGCUUUAACCCUAACCCAUUGAUGAAUGGGCACUCACUAUCACACGUCUCUACCACCCACCUCCACACACACACACACGCACACACACAGACACAGACACAGACACACAUCGACCUCCACACACUUUCACCUCCACACACACGCACACACAGACACAGACACAGACACACAUCGACCUCCACACACUCUCACCUCCACACACACACACACACACACAGUGAGCAGGUGCAUGAACCAUGACUUGUCUGUAGAUCACAGUAAAUACAUGACUUUAUAGUCAUAAAACUGGAUUGUCAAUUAUGAAGAUUCUUGAUUUGAUUUGAUUAUGAUCACACAAGAACUCUUAAAACAACUAUACUUGCUAAAGGACUAUAUCCCUGAGGGAUAUGUAAAUGUGUGUUCUUGUUGUCAAUAUGCCUUUAAAGCUCCGUGAGGUUUUGUCCUAGAGUCAUAAAAAGAACACCCCCAGAAACAUUUAAUCGUCUACAUAUAUGGCACUUGUGCAUGAAUGUUUUUAAUAAGAGGAAAUAUACAAAAACAUCAAGGCAUGCCAGAGUACCUAAAAAAGUCUAACAGGCAUCAGUCCUAUAGGAGGGUACAGGGAACAAUACAGUGGUACACACUGCCACCAAGCGUUUAAAAUGGGUACUGCAGUCCAAAUUCCAACUAUUGUAGAGAAUCGUUUCUCUUUGCAGGGUGGCUGGGGAAAUCUCAUUAAUAUUCAUGAAGAAAGUACUACACAAUAUAUAUAUAUUGUAUCCUAUACUGUGUUUCAUCUGAAGUACUUCUCUCAUGUGUAGUACUUAGUGUGUUUUUAUGUUUUUAUGUUAUGUGUAGUACUUAUUGUGUUUGUAUGUUUUUAUGUUCACUGUAUGCACCUACACACCAGAACAACCUACUUGGCAAUAAAUACUAUUCUGAUUCUGAUUCUGAUUCUGAU
rnacentral:lncRNA from 1 species